rfam:Schistosoma curassoni strain Dakar, Senegal genome assembly, scaffold: SCTD_scaffold0006453
AUCUAGUUGACGAGUCCGAAUCAGGGUGAAACGCGCGUCCUGGAU